UCUCCUCUCCUCUCCUUUUGUUUCCAGACAUGGCUCUGCCCUUAGUCAAUCUGUAAUCUGGGAGAGUAUUCAUGGAGUAUUUGUGGAAUAGGUGGCAUUUGAGGUAAAGAAAAAUCCCAAACCUUAGUGACUGAGCAGCUGUUUAUGAGCAUAGAGUUUAUGAGCACCCAAGGAAACAAGCUCAAAAAGGAAGUUCAGGGUCAUCGUGCAGAACAACUGAAUGGCAGAUGAACAAGGAAGACCCCUAAAGGAGACCAUGGCUGACCAGUGAGCACUGAGCGGAUUACUCAGCUCCUCAGAGUAUAAGCUACUUAACCCAUGAACCCAGAAUGAUGUGGCAACAAAGAGAUGAAAUAACUGUUCCAGGACUUUGAAGGUCCUCGUUUCUACUUUGAACACCCAAUUAUCAUAAAGCCAGCAAGAGAUGCACUGUUGGCUGCCCCCAAAUUUUUCUCCCUAUUUUGAGAGAGAAUGGUCUAAAAUGCUGUACUUUCCUAGAAAAGUAUAGCCACUGUUAGGGGUGAGAACCCCAGGGGAAAGGCUGUGGGGAGGGGGCAAAUACCAUGUUUGUGCAGCUGUCCGCCGCUGUUAAUUACCUCCUGGGUAAUAAAAGAAUGUCAGAAUGCUCUUUCUCUGACAUUGGUAAUCAGUGGAAUAGGCAUGGCUAGCAAAACACCCUGGGGAGUUGGUGGUGAUAUGGACAGCAGUUGAAUAAGUGGGGAAAACAAGAGUGAAAUACCCGCAUCAGAAGGAAAAGGCGAAAGCAUGGGCAGAGAGCAGUUUGGCUCUGAGGGAAUCGAAGGAAUGUUAGCUGUUUUAAGUCAAUGCUUCAUCAACGGAGACAACACAUGGAUCAAACCUUAAAUUACCAUAUAAGUGCCAGUGAUUGUUGAUGUUGUUAUUGCGAGAGAUCCCCAGGAGUUUCUGAGCAAAAGCUCCACACACAGAGCCUCUGCAAACACAGAUUUGCCCCUAGAGUGAGCCCUGAUUUGUGGAUCCAAGGAGGCGAUGAAGAAUGAGGUCACCUUUCAGGGUAGUCACGCCUAGCCCUGGAGUCCAUCCAGUGAGCUUGGGUGUAUGCUGAGUCCUGGUGUUGGCUGUUAGUGAUGGCAACAUCUGCAAAGGCAGCCAACUUCCCCAACUGGAGAACCCAGCCUCUGUACGCAUCUCCCGGGGGCCCAGACAAAAUCAAGUUGUUCGCUGUGCGCCAGCAGCAGCCCCUUUGUUCCCAGGAAGACAGGCCGAGGGGUGGCUGGGUUGCCAAGAACACAGGUGGAGCACACUGGGAAGAGGAGGGGGAAAGAAGCCCAUC